UGGGGAAUAUUGCACAAUGGGGGGAAACCCUGAUGCAGCGACGCCGCGUGAGCGAAGAAGUAUUUCGGUAUGUAAAGCUCUAUCAGCAGGGAAGAAAAAAAUGACGGUACCUGAGUAAGAAGCACCGGCUAAAUACGUGCC
rnacentral:rRNA from 1 species